AUAUAUAUGUACCUUUAACCAGCCUUAUUCCCUUUAUUUCUUUUCGUUCAAUUUCACUAAAGUAUAUGUAUUCCAUCCUUCCGGUUACUGAAAAGCCUCAUGAAAAAUUUUUCUCUCUCUUUCUUUCUCUCUCUUUUUCUCUCACUCGACUUUUCUUUCCUUUUUUUCUCUCACUUCAUCUACCUUUCGUUUUACGUCUUUCAAGUAAGUACUUUUGCCUCUUUUUAAAGUCGCCUGGCCAUGUUCACUUCGUUCACUUAAAACUCUACCAUCAAAUCUUUUCCCCUAACUCCCGUCCCUCCUUUCCCCUAUACCUCACCCCUCAGUGCUCCCUCUCCUCUCCACCUUCACUCCUUCAAGGAAAUGACUGCUCUUAGGUGAGCUUGGAUUUUUAAAUCGUUCUCCUUCUUGUUGUUGUUUCUUCGAAUUUCUUCUUCAUUUAAUUUUAUUCUUUCGUUUCUUUUUCUCUUUUCAUUUGUCUCUUUUUGUCCUUUCUUUUUCUGAUUUUUUUUUCUUUUUUUACUCCCCUAAAUGAGCCCCUUGGGGUGGUCACGCGUGCAAUUUAGCAAUUUACUUUUUAUGACACACAAAAUCUACUAUUAGGGAUCGAAAGAAAAGUAUUCUUCGAAAGCAAUUCUUCUUUUCUCUUUCGAAUCAUUCUUUUUGUCACAUUGUAAAAUCUAUUACAAGCUCACUUUCAUAGGCGGUUAAAAGUUCAAUUUAUAAAAUUAACUCUCUCUCUCUCUCUCUCUCUCUCGCUGUUCGUCGAAAAGUAAAGUAAAGAAAAAAAAAAAAAAAAAAGAGAACAAGUAAAUGGUUUUAAAUUAAUUAUCUGAUAACUUUUGAUUCGCCCUUUACAUAGAUACAUUAAUAGAUGAUAGGUAUAUAAUUAUUUAUUCCCUAGUAUAUAUAUAUAUAUAUGUGUGUGUGUGUGUAUACAUAUACAUAUAUACGUAUAUACAUAUAUAUCUUGUUCGGGAACAAAUUAUCUAAUCGUGUAGUUAUUCUAGUUUUAUUUUUGUUUGGAGUUGGUAAAAAGAAGAAAGGUUACAAUCGUGUUCUCUCAUGCGCUUGCCACGGAGGACUAUUUUCUCUCCUUACCCCGUCUCCCCUCUCGUAUAAGCUUUCGACGAUCGAUCGAUCGCGUACCAGGAAGCAAAAGGCACUUUACGCUGACUACGACGCGACAAAUUAUUCAACGCUCGGCGAUGUCUCCACGCUAACGACGAAUGCAGCUUGCUGAUACUCGUGUGAUUUCAACGGAUAGAAAGAUAAAGAUAGAUAGAUAGAUGGAUGGAGAGAGACAGACAGACAGACAGAGAGAGAGAGAGAGAGAGAGAGAGAGAGAGAGAGAGAGAGACAAACACAAUUGAAUGAAUCUUCAAUGAGAAUUUCUCGUUUGGUUGAUUGUUUGCUGAUUCUGUUUCAAUACUUCAAUGUAAAUUAAAAUUUUUCUUAUGUUAUCAAUCGAGUUAUAUUCCAAGUUUCGAAUGAUCCAUAGAAGGAAACCUUGAUUUAGUUAGAAGAAAUUGUUCGUUCACUGGUGAUACUAAAAGUUAUAUUGCCUAAUUCUGUUAUCGAGAAUCGAAUUAUUUGACUUUGAAGUGAUCGAUGAUAAUGAUAAAAAAAAAAAAAAAAAAAGAAAAAAGAAAAAAAGAAGAAAAAAAAAGAAGGGCAAAAAUAUAUUCGACCGAAUUAUUUUCAUUACGAUUAGUUUCAUUCGAUGUACACAAAAUUAUGAUUAAAAAAAAAAAAAAAAAAAAAAUAAGGAUGAGAUAAGGGGGAAAAAAGAAAAUAAUUUACUUGACGCACGAAUAAAAAAUAAAAUGCUUAUCGUAUUAGUAUAAGCCGCAAAUUGAAGUUAUUAAUAGUUACAUAUAUAUAUACCAAUAAAAUUAUAUAAAUUACAUAAAUAUAUACAAUUAAUAAUUACACAAAUAUAUACAAAUUGCAUAAAUACAUUUAUAUAAAUUAUAUAAAUUACAAUAAAAUUAGAUAUGUAUGCCAAUAAAAAAAAUAAAAAAAAAAAUAUGUAUAUAUAUAUAUAUAUAUAUAUAUACAGGUACAUAUUUAUUAUGCAGCGAGCGUUCAACGUUUGGCGACUAUAGUAGUUUUAAGUAAAGAAAAGGGUUGAAAUCGUUUGAGUCCUAUAAGUUCACACGAGUGGAUUCUCCUCUAUGCUUUCAGACGACGCGACGGAUUGGUAGAAAAGUAGUAAGAUCCCUAGGAUUUCUUCUCAGUCAAUUCUCCUUUAGGUCUCCUCUAUUUCACUAGUUUUCUUUCUCUCUCUCUCUCUCUCUCUCUCUCAUGGUCUUACCCCGUGGGAAUUGGGGAUUUGCGGUUUACCCCGAGCGUCCUAAGUACCAGACGCAAAAAACAAAUGAACGAGCCGCCGUGAGGAGAGUCUGAGUGGGACACGAAACUUGGAUCUAGUUGGGUAUCACUUCUUCUGUCUCCCUUUUUCUCUCAUAUUCUUUUAUCAAUCCUUUCCCUUCCUUCCUAUCUAUCUAUCUUUCUCUCACUCUUUCUUUCUCUCUCUCUCUCUCUCUCUUUUUCUUAUACGGCAAUCCACUCUUUUUAACCGUAUCUACUCACUAGUAUUUCUCUCUCUCUCUCUCUCUCUUUCUAUUUUCUUUUUUCUAUUUUUCUCUCUUCAUCUCUCUCUCUCUCUUUCUCUCUCUCUCUAUGUUUUUUCUAUUUCUCUCUCUCUCUCUCUUUUUUUUCACCCGUCCGAACUUCCAACUCGCGUGUUGCCGGCAGUGGCCGAUAAAUUUUCGCCGAAUGAAAAGAAAACAGCGGCUGCACGUUAAAGAUACCUUACCCUUUUCUCCCUCCCUCCCUCCCUCCCUCCCUCCCAUUUUCCUUCUCUCACUCACUCACUCAUUCACUCACUUCCUCCCUUCCUUCCUUCCUCUUCCUCCAUCUUUUUCCACAUUUUUUUUUGUUCACCCAUCAACACUCUCACCGAAUCCUCUUGAUUCGAGUUAAGUAGAUGAUAUCGUUGAAAUAUCCCCAUCCGUUCAUUUAAAUUGAAUGUCCCUUUCUUCUUCUUUCUUUUCUCUUUUUUUGUUUUUUAUUUAUUUAUUUAUUUAUUUAUUUAUUUAUUUCUUAUUUACUUUUAUUUUUCUUUUAAUCGAAUAAAAUUACGUCCACGCAUAUUACUCGACAUUAAUAUUCAUUUACACAUUCAAAUACAUAUAUAUAUAUAUAUACAUAUGCAUUUAAUAAAACCAGGAGUUGCUGUAAUAGAUAGAAUUUGUAUUUGCUAAUUUGUUUAGAUAGUGCGUUUCGCUUUAGAAGGAAAAGAAACGAAAAAAGAAAAAAAAAAAAAAAAUAAAAAGAAAAAGAAAAAGAAAGAAGAGAAUCGAAUGAAACGAGAAAUAAUAAAUAAAUAAAUAGAAAAUGGAUAUUACUGCGUACACAUUUAUGCGUAUUCAGGUAUCAAUGCGUAUGAGAUAGGUGAAUGUUGGUGGUUGUGUGGGAGGAAGGAGAGAAGGGUUACGAGGAUGGAUUGUGGGAAUAGGCGUGGGAGAGAGAGAGAGAGAGAGAGAGAGAGAGAGAGAAAAGAGAGGAAAAAGCAAGAGAAGAAGAGAUGGCUCACAGUUUUCUCGAAGUACGUCGUAAAACAGAGGCGAUCGUAAAAUCGACCAACUGAAACGACGUUCUACGUUGAACAGAGCUUGCUGCUAUCCGUUUGCGUCUCUCGUGAAUAGAGAGAGAGAGAGAAAGAGCGAGAAAGAGAGAGAGAGAGAGAGAGAGAGAGAGAGAGAAGGAGUCACAGAAGUAUCACGAAUAAAUAGAAUGUCCUUUCGCUUCUGGAAAAUGACUUACGACUGAAUUCGCAAAAUUGAAGUAACAGUCUUAAACAGAUUGAAGGGUCCGUUUUUGAGGAUUAUUCCUUUAGGCGAUAGCUUCAUAAUUUUGUGGUUCCGUUUGAUGCUAGAACGAAAUCAUAAAAUGUUAACUCAAGAUAGGAUAACUUUAUGUAUAUAUUUAUAGAGAGAGAGAGAGAGAGAGAGAGAGAGAGAGAGAGAGAGAGAGAGAGAACAUUUAACGUGGUUAACUUAUCGGAUUAUAAUUUAAUGGGGUUUCGCCUCCGAAGAAGAAACUUUAGUCCCGAGAAAAGAUUUGUUUACGUCACCAUCGAAGAUAUCCAAGAUAAUUUAAGAUAAAUAGGUAUAUAGAAAGUAAACGAAGAAGAAAGGAAGGGAUGAAUGAAUGGUAGAAAAGAAAUAAAUAGAAAUAGGUUGGUAUAGGGGAUGAAGAUUCUCAUUAGUCAAUAUGAAUAUAUAGUUCGACUCGUUGGCACUGGAACGUCCAGCAUGACAAUUACUUGAUUACACACACGUUACGUUGAAAGAGAUUGAGAGUGGGCAAAAGAGAAAGAGAGAUAUAGAGAGUUAGAGAGAUAGAAAGAGAGUGAGAGAUAGUAUAUGUGAGAGAGUGAGAGUGAAAGAGAGAGAGAGAGAGAGACAGAGAGAGAGAACUUGUUCCGUACGUUCCCGUUCCACUCGUGUGAUCUACAUGAACGUUAACGAAUCCUGGCACGUACGAAACGAGCAGGUUUUAAGCUCACAUGAGUUUUCCUACGAAGCGAGAUGCUAACCGCGCUAAUGUAAUUAUGUAAUUUAAAUUUGAAUCAACGCGUGUGUCGGAGGGGGUUGAGCAUGAAAGAGUAAGAGGAAGAGCAAGAGAGAGAGAGAGAGAGAGAGAGAGAGAGAAAGAGAAAGAAGAAGAGGAAGAGAGAGAAAGAGAGAGAGAAUGGUAUAUGAGCGAAAGAGAAAAGGGAUGGUAUGGUCCGGACGUAGAAAUGGAGGAAACGAAACGUCGGCGAGAGAACGGCUGAGUUUGACGAUGCCUGCCGUUUCUACUGGUGGUUGUUGCUCGUAGCUGUGAAACGAACAGAUCCCCUGGUACAGUUCCGGCUUACACAUUUGACAGCUGGGGAAAUUAUAUUUCUCAACUGCCAUUUAAGUUUGCGCGUCGUUCCGUUCAUCAGU